UACGUAGGGGGCAAGCGUUUGUCCGGAUUUAUUGGGCGUAAAGAGCGUGUAGGCGGCUUGGUAGGUCCGCUGUGAAAACUCGAGGCUCAACCUCGAGACGUCGGCGGAAACCAUCUGGCUAGAGUCCGGAAGAGGAGAGUGGAAUUCCUGGUGUAGCGGUGAAAUGCGCAGAUAUCAGGAAGAACACCGUAGUGGCAAGGCGCUCUGCCGG
rnacentral:rRNA from 1 species